rnacentral:rRNA from 1 species
CCUACGGGAGGCAGCAGUGGGGAAUAUUGGACAAUGGGCGCAAGCCUGAUCCAGCAAUGCCGCGUGAGUGAUGAAGGCCUUAGGGUCGUAAAGCUCUUUUACCAGGGAUGAUAAUGACAGUACCUGGAGAAUAAGCUCCGGCUAACUCCGUGCCAGCAGCCGCGGUAAUACGGAGGGAGCUAGCGUUGUUCGGAAUUACUGGGCGUAAAGCGUACGUAGGCGGUUAUUCAAGUCAGAGGUGAAAGCCCGGGGCUCAACCCCGGAACGGCCUUUGAAACUAGGUAGCUAGAAUCUUGGAGAGGUCAGUGGAAUUCCGAGUGUAGAGGUGAAAUUCGUAGAUAUUCGGAAGAACACCAGUGGCGAAGGCGACUGACUGGACAAGUAUUGACGCUGAGGUACGAAAGCGUGGGGAGCAAACAGGAUUAGAUACCCUGGUAGUCCACGCCGUAAACGAUGAUAACUAGCUGUCCGGGCACUUGGUGCCUGGGUGGCGCNGCUACGCAUUAAGUUAUCCGUCCGUGGGAGGCGACGGUCGCGAGAGUAAACGUACGAAAGAAGUAGUAACGGUCGUGAGAGUGCGAGGACGACGACGAGGGAGGAGG